rnacentral:rRNA from 1 species
UACGUAGGGGGCGAGCGUUGUCCGGAUUCAUUGGGCGUAAAGAGCUCGUAGGCGGUUUGGCAAGUCGGGUGUGAAAACUCCAGGCUCAACCUGGAGAUGCCAUCUGAUACUGCCAUGACUGGAGUCUGGUAGGGGAGCACGGAAUUCCUGGUGUAGCGGUGAAAUUCGUAGAUAUCUGGAGGAACACCGGUGGCGAAGGCGGCAUCCUGGACCAACACUGACACUGAGGAGCGAAAGCCAGGGGAGCAAACGGG